rnacentral:rRNA from 1 species
AGUGAACGCUGGCGGUAGGCCUAACACAUGCAAGUCGAACGGCAGCACAGUAAGAGCUUGCUCUUACGGGUGGCGAGUGGCGGACGGGUGAGGAAUACAUCGGAAUCUACUUUUUCGUGGGGGAUAACGUAGGGAAACUUACGCUAAUACCGCAUACGACCUACGGGUGAAAGCAGGGGAUCUUCGGACCUUGCGCGAUUGAAUGAGCCGAUGUCGGAUUAGCUAGUUGGCGGGGUAAAGGCCCACCAAGGCGACGAUCCGUAGCUGGUCUGAGAGGAUGAUCAGCCAAACUGGAACUGAGACACGGUCCAGACUCCUACGGGAGGCAGCAGUGGGGAAUAUUGGACAAUGGGCGCAAGCCUGAUCCAGCCAUACCGCGUGGGUGAAGAAGGCCCUCGGGUUGUAAAGCCCUUUUGUUGGGAAAGAAAAGCAGCAGGUUAAUACCCCGCUGUUCUGACGGUACCCAAAGAAUAAGCACCGGCUAACUUCGUG